UACGUAGGGUGCGAGCGUUGUCCGGAAUUAUUGGGCGUAAAGGGCUCGUAGGCGGUUUGUCGCGUCGGGAGUGAAAACCUUGGGCUUAACUCAGGGCUUGCUUUCGAUACGGGCAGACUAGAGGUAUGCAGGGGAGAACGGAAUUCCUGGUGUAGCGGUGAAAUGCGCAGAUAUCUGGAGGAACACCGGUGGCGAAGGCGGCAUCCUGGACCGAAAUUGACGCUGAGGCGCGAAAGCCAGGGGAGCAAAGCGGG
rnacentral:rRNA from 1 species